rnacentral:rRNA from 1 species
UACGAAGGGGGCUAGCGUUGUUCGGAAUUACUGGGCGUAAAGCGCGUGUAGGCGGGUCUUUUAAGUCAGGGGUGAAAUGCCAGGGCUCAACCUUGGAACUGCCUUUGAUACUGGAGACCUUGAGUCCGGGAGAGGUGAGUGGAAUUGCGAGUGUAGAGGUGAAAUUCGUAGAUAUUCGCAAGAACACCAGUGGCGAAGGCGGCUCACUGGCCCGGAACUGACGCUGAGACGCGAAAGCGUGGGGAGCAAAC